GACGAACGCUGGCGGUAUGCUCAGCACAUGCAAGUCGAACGAGACAAGAUGGAAGUGCUUGCACGGAAAUCUUAGAAAGUGGCGAACGGGUGAGUAACGCGUGGGUAACCUGCCCUAAGGAAAGGAAUAGCCUCGGGAAACUGGGAGUAAUGCCUUAUAAGAUAUAUUUGUCGCAUGGCAGAUGUAUUAAACGCUCCGGUGCCAUAGGAUGGACCCGCGUCCCAUUAGCUAGUUGGUGAGAUAACAGCCCACCAAGGCGACGAUGGGUAACCGGUCUGAGAGGGCGAACGGUCACACUGGAACUGAGACACGGUCCAGACUCCUACGGGAGGCAGCAGUGGGGAAUAUUGCGCAAUGGGGGAAACCCUGACGCAGCAAUACCGCGUGAGUGAAGAAGGUUUUCGGAUCGUAAAGCUCUGUUAUUGGGGAAGAAAAAAAGACGGUACCCAAGAAGAAAGUCCCGGCUAACUACGUGCCAGCAGCCGCAGUAA
rnacentral:rRNA from 1 species